GGACUACCCGGGUAUCUAAUCCCGUUUGCUCCCCUGGCUUUCGCGCCUCAGCGUCAGUUGAGGUCCAGCAUGCCGCCUUCGCCACCGGUGUUCCUUCCGAUAUCUACGCAUUUCACCGCUCCACCGGAAGUUCCACAUGCCCCUACCUCACUCCAGACGUCCAGUAUCACAGGCAGUUCUCCGGUUAAGCCGGAGGAUUUCACCCCUGACUUGGACAUCCGCCUACGCGCCCUUUAAGCCCAGUGAUUCCGAACAACGUUCGCACGGUUCGUCUUACCGCGGCUGCUGGCAC
rnacentral:rRNA from 2 species